UGGGGAAUUUUGGACAAUGGGCGAAAGCCUGAUCCAGCAAUGCCGCGUGUGUGAAGAAGGCCUUCGGGUUGUAAAGCACUUUUGUCCGGAAAGAAAUCCUUGGCUCUAAUACAGUCGGGGGAUGACGGUACCGGAAGAAUAAGCACCGGCUAACUACGUGCCAGCAGCCGCGGUAAUACGUAGGGUGCAAGCGUUAAUCGGAAUUACUGGGCGUAAAGCGUGCGCAGGCGGUUUGCUAAGACCGAUGUGAAAUCCCCGGGCUCAACCUGGGAACUGCAUUGGUGACUGGCAGGCUAGAGUAUGGCAGAGGGGGGUAGAAUUCCACGUGUAGCAGUGAAAUGCGUAGAGAUGUGGAGGAAUACCGAUGGCGAAGGCAGCCCCUGGGCCAAGUACUGACGCUCAUGCACGAAAGCGUGGGGGAGCAAACAGGAUUAGAUACCCUGGUAGUCCACGCCCUAAAACGAUGUCAACUAGGUUGUUGGGGGAUUCAUUUCCUUAGUAACGUAGCUAACGCGUGAAGUUGACCGCCUGGGGAGUACGGUCGCAAGAUUAAAACUCAAAUGAAUUGAC
rnacentral:rRNA from 1 species